AUGCUUGGAGAAGCUCUGUGAGAGAAUCUUAAUAUCUACUUCCUCGUGAUCUUUCUUCUCUUUCCUCUCCGUUAAUCUCAAUGCAUUAUCUUCUACACUUUCCUCAGGUUGAACCAGAGAUCGGAGAUAAAAUUCCUCAGAGAAAAAAGUCACGGUUCUUUUCUCUUUCGCUCUCUCGAGAUCUCAAACAAUUUUGAUCGGUUUCUUCUGCCGUGAUCGGCCAAAAGACGUUGUCGUCGGCGAGAAUGGAAGGACUAACGUCUCCGGGAACGAUGCCUUCGCCGCGAUCUGCAACAAGUACGACCGAUACGACAUCUACAAGUAGAAAGACUCUAACGUCUCCGGUGCCGAUGCCUUCGCUCGCCUCUACUCCGCCAUCAAGUCCGACAUUGAAGCUGCUCUUCAGAAAGCGGAGCUUGCUUCAAAAGAAAAAAGUAUGGCAUCUGCAGGUGCUCUGACUGCCAAGAUUCGCCGGACCAAGGCUCCAUUGCUUGAAGAGGUUCCCAAGUUGCAGAGAUUGGGUGUAAAGAAGGUUGGCAUCCACUGUUUGAAUCAAUUCUAUUUUCGUGCUUCUUCGUAAUUGUGCAUUUCAUAAAAUUGUUUGAUAAAUUGAUGUUUAGUGCAGUCAUCUGCAUAUAUGCUAGAACUUGUUUAGCGCUGGAAGGUGAUUUUGGAUGGGUAUUGAUUGGACAAAAGAUGAUUGCUUUUGAAGAGAAUUCUUGGCAGGUUAGGUGUUCCCCAGAUGUUUUGUGUUACUGAAAAGAAAUAUGCACGAGUGAGUGGUAUAUAUCUUAUGAUCUCUCAUGCCUCCUUGUAGUUCUGUUUGAAGUUGAGUCAAGACCUGCACGUGUUUAGGAAGAAGUUUUGAGUCAAUGCCUCCUUUUAGUUUACUCUUUUACCUUUCUUUUCACUCAUUUAUUAAAUGUUUUGACUUGCCGCCUUUGUUCUUGUUUCAGAAAAAAGUUGAAUGCUAACUUUAGUCUUUAUCAUUUACUUCAAUGUGAGGUCAAACUUUAGUCUUGUUUUUGAUUCAUAUUCGUUGUACAAUUUUACAGAAUUAUUUGAAUCCUUUUUGUGCUUUCCCUGAAAUGAAUCAUAGCUGUGCUAUAUUCCAUAUAUAUCAAAUACCAAUCCUCAUUCACAGAGAUUAGAAAGUUCCCAGAUUACAUGCAAUGAACCUUAUUUGAUACUGAUCUACCCUGUUUUCUCGUUUCAAAAUUGUUGUUAAGCAAAAGCCCAUUAACUACAUUUACUUUUUGGCAGGCAAAAGGUACAUCAUCAUCAUCUCUCGUCAAUCUUUAUUUCUGGUGUUUGCUUCCCUCAUUCUUCAGGGAUGAUGUUGAAAAGAUAUCAGAUACUUAUUACUUGGCUGCCCUAUGCCGUAAUUUUUAUCAUGUCAUUUUUAGGGUGAUUUAGGCCAUUUGCAUACUUCCUCUGGAUCAAAGCCCUAUUGAGUAGUAUCUACAUUUUCAAAUUUAGUCCACCUCAAACAUGAAUCAGAUUAUUUGCUUAGUUGAAAGCAAAAUAAAAUCCCAAUUGCUUUUUAUAUACCUGUUUUGUAGCUUUUGUCAUCACAUCUUUCACCACCAUUUCUUCUACUGUGCUUAUAUUGCUUAUAUUGGUAUCACUUAAGAUCUUCAAUAAGCAUUUUUAACUAAUUUUGGAUCCUCGUUGACUCAUUG